rnacentral:rRNA from 1 species
CUUGGUGUCUUCGUCAAAGUCGAGACACAGCAUCCCUUUCCGAACUGCGUGGUGAAAGGCUUUUGAGAGUAAGAUAGGACACGGGACACUGUCUCUGAAAACAUCUCGAUGCCAAGA